CAUUCCAUAAAGCUAUCAGAAGGAACCC
rnacentral:piRNA from 1 species